AUUAAACUCUGGUGAGUAGAAUCAUGCACUCGUGACUCUACCGCUACAACUAUACAUUUAGAAAACCACCAUAAGGAAUAUUUAAAGGAGUAAUUCGUGGAUUGACUUUUGUGUAGGGACGAGUAAUUUUUGUCUUAAGAACAUAAACAAGUUUUUGAGGUUUUUUUUAAUGUAAGAACAUAAACAUGUCUUUGAGAUUGUAUUUUCACGACAAAGGGAGCGGAAUCAGUUUAACUGUACAGACCAAACCUUCUCCCUCACUUCCUUAUAUGCAUUUGCCUCUGGAUAAAAAAUAAUGCCUGCAAACUUCUGGUUUCUCAACUUUUACUGCGUUCUUUUCUAUACUAGAUGUCACAAUUCUUCAGAAAAAUAUAUUCAUACUACUAUAAUACUACUUCUUGUUACUAUUCACAGUAAUCGGGAGCAAAUAAAUAAUGAGACAACCUCUAGUAUCUAUAUGCAGAUCGCCACUUGAAGGAGUUCAGACUUCAGACUUCAGAAGAGUUCAGAGUACCGAGGCCACUCGAGAGCAAAAGAAAGAUCGCCAUCUUUGCUGAACUGUCACACUGUUGGCGACGUGAUCGGCAGAGCGCCCCGCGAUUCAACGCCAGGAUCUCGCGGUGGAUUCGCAGGUGUCUGUCACUCACUCUCACUUGACUCGCUCGAGCCAGGGGGACCCGUCCUUCUUUCCUCCCUUCCUUCCUUCCGCUGAUCAAACUUCUCAUUUCGCCUCUUGAAAGCUGCAAAAGUUUUUUUUCUCUCUCUCCAGUUCAGGGAGGCCAUUUGUCUCAAGCAUCAUCGUUUAUCUUACAACGAAUCAGUCGCGGCCAAAAUUUAAAAUUUAAAGCUUGAUUGUGGAGUUGAUUUUAAGAGAGUUGACAGGCUUUUGUUGGGAGCUAGAGGAGGCAGAGAAAAAUUUUGGACUAAAGUUAAUCUGACUGCUGCAGAAAUGACAGCUGAAUAAUGGUAGCUGGUGGUAGCUAGCAACUGGUGAUCGAUCUGAUGUUCCUGCUUAAUUGAGGUUCCUUAUCUUAAUAAAUGAUCAAGAGAAACUUACAAGUUACAAUUGAUACAGAUGUCACAGCUGCUGCUCAGUAAUCUUUACUUAGGAGCUUUCUUAAGCUGGGGCUUCUCUCUUCAACCUGCUGCUUAAACUUAAACUCCUACUAAUCAUUAUGGUACAAGGAGAAGUACAGGAAAAGCAAUGGAGGGACAAAA